rnacentral:rRNA from 1 species
UGGGGAAUUUUGGACAAUGGGCGCAAGCCUGAUCCAGCCAUGCCGCGUGCGGGAAGAAGGCCUUCGGGUUGUAAACUGCUUUUGUCAGGGAAGAAAUCUUCUGAGUUAAUACCUCGGGAGGAUGACGGUACCUGAAGAAUAAGCACCGGCUAACUACGUGCCAGCAGCCGCGGUAAUACGUAGGGUGCAAGCGUUAAUCGGAAUUACUGGGCGUAAAGCGUGCGCAGGCGGUUUUGUAAGACAGAGGUGAAAUCCCCGGGCUCAACCUGGGAACUGCCUUUGUGACUGCAAGGCUUGAGUGCGGCAGAGGGGGGAUGGAAUUCCGCGUGUAGCAGUGAAAUGCGUAGAUAUGCGGAGGAACACCGAUGGCGAAGGCAAUCCCCUGGGCCUGCACUGACGCUCAUGCACGAAAGCGUGGGGAGCAAAACAGGAUUAGAUACCCUGGUAGUCCACGCCCUAAACGAUGUCAACUGGUUGUUGGGAAGGUUCCUUCUCAGUAACGUAGCUAACGCGUGAAGUUGACCGCCUGGGGGAGUACGGCCGCAAGGUUGAAACUCAAAUGAAUUGACGGGGGUCAUAGCUG